CGGUGCAGUGUCAGGUCCCCCAGCGCUGCGGACAACCAGUACCCAAAAGAAGCCGAGCUGGAGCUAAAGAUCGCGGCGCCGGAGCCAUCUGACCGGUUUUGAGACCUCCAGCUCGUCGCCGUCCUGGCUGCGAGAGCUUGGGCACGGCGCCGAGGCUCAGUCUCCUCUUCUGUGAAAUGGCGAUAACUGUAUGUGCCAGGUGACUGCACGUGGCGCGCGGCGGGUGGCGGGGAUGGCAGCGGUGCGAUCCCACGCCUCCAGGACCCCACCUUCCCGCGGCCCCCGAUCGGCCCCGCCCCGGGGGCGCCCCAGCUGCACGCGCGGCGCUGGCUCCAAAGUGCGUCACGGGCACCGGCCGCGCUCCUUCUGCCGCCAGGGCGAGGCUGGCACCCGGCCAGCGCGGGCAGGGCCACUGGUGCCCGGCUGUUUCCCGGGUGUGGAAGGCGCUCAAGGUGCGCGGCCCGGGACGCGCUACUGGGGGCGCCCUCCGCGGCGGGCAGCGCGCCAGGGAUCGGCCUGGGCAGCCGCUGGGCGCGCGAAGGCUGCGCUUUCCCUACGGCCCCCCUAGCUUCCUCCGGCACGGCGGCAGCGGAGAUUUCCUCUCGGGGAAACUACGCGGAUCCUUUUCGGGUAUCCUCGCCCCGCCCCAGUUCUCCGCCCCCUCCCCUUUGCUGGGACGCCUGGGCUGGCCCGCGCAGGGGAGGAGGCUCUGGCAGCCUGGGCAGGGAGGCGGCGGGGGGCCGCGGAGCCGCUGGCCAUCGAUUCUCCCCGCCAUGUGACGCCGUCCUUAGCCCUGCGACCCCCAGCGCGUCCCGGGCCUGCGCCCCCGCCCCGCCGCGCAGCGCACCAUGCUUCUGCCGGGACCAGCACGCCAGCCGCCGACGCCCCAGCCCGCACAGCAUCCCGGCCUCCGCCGGCAGGUAGAGCCGCCCGGGCAGCUCCUGCGCCUCUUCUACUGCACUGUCCUGGUCUGCUCCAAAGAGAUCUCAGCGCUCACCGACUUCUCUGGUUACCUAACCAAACUCCUGCAAAACCACACCACCUAUGCCUGUGAUGGGGACUAUUUGAAUCUACAGUGCCCUCGGCAUUCUACGAUAAGUGUCCAAUCGGCAUUUUAUGGGCAAGAUUACCAAAUGUGUAGUUCCCAGAAGCCUGCCUCCCAGAGGGAAGACAGCUUAACCUGUGUGGCAGCCACCACCUUCCAGAAGGUGCUGGACGAAUGCCAGAACCAGCGGGCCUGCCACCUCCUGGUCAAUAGCCGUGUUUUUGGACCUGACCUUUGUCCAGGAAGCAGUAAAUACCUCCUGGUCUCCUUUAAAUGCCAACCUAAUGAAUUAAAAAACAAAACCGUGUGUGAAGACCAGGAGCUGAAACUGCACUGCCAUGAAUCCAAGUUCCUCAACAUCUACUCUGCGACCUACGGCAGGAGGACCCAGGAAAGGGACAUCUGCUCCUCCGAGGCAGAGCGGCUCCCCCCUUUUGGUAUGUGCUUUUGUAUGUGUAUUAGCCAGGGUUCUCUAGAGGGACAGAAUUAAUAGGAGAUAUAUAUAUAUAUAUAUGAUAUAUAUAUAUAUCCUAUAUGAUUGUGGAAGUCAAUACUUAACACAAUCACGAUCUUGUGAUCAUGUAAGUUAAUACUUAAUAAACUCCCAUAUGUGUGUGCGUGUAUGUAUAUAUAUACAUAUAUAUAUAAAAAUGCUUGUAAACAGUAAU
rnacentral:sRNA from 1 species